rnacentral:rRNA from 1 species
GGAACUGAGACACGGUCCAGACACCUACGGGUGGCAGCAGUCGAGAAUAAUUCACAAUGGGGGCAACCCUGAUGGUGCAACGCCGCGUGGAGGAUGACGGUCUUCGGAUUGUAAACUCCUGUCAUCCGGGAGUAAGACCUGGGGGUUAAUAGCCCACAGGGUUGAUAGUACCGGAAGAGGAAGGGACGGCUAACUUCGUGCCAGCAGCCGCGGUAAUACGAAGGUCCCGAGCGUUGUUCGGAAUCACUGGGCGUAAAGGGAGCGUAGGCGGCGUGGUAAGUCAGAUGUGAAAUCCCGGGGCUCAACCCCGGAACUGCAUCCGAUACUGCCGUGCUUAGAGGAUUGGAGAGGUAGCUGGAAUUCUUGGUGUAGCAGUGAAAUGCGUGGAUAUCAAGAGGAACACUCGUGGCGAAAGCGAGCUACUGGACAACUCCUGACGCUGAGGCUCGAAGGCCAGGGUAGCGAAAGGGAUUAGAUACCCCAGUAGUC